rnacentral:rRNA from 1 species
CAGUCGCCACGGGAAUACGUAGGGUGCAAGCGUUAAUCGGAAUUACUGGGCGUAAAGCGUGCGCAGGCGGCUUUGCAAGACAGAUGUGAAAUCCCCGGGCUCAACCUGGGAACUACAUUCGUGACUGCAUGGCUAGAGUACGGUAGAGGGGGAUGGAAUUCCGCGUGUAGCAGUGAAAUGCGUAGAUAUGCGGAGGAACACCGAUGGCGAAGGCAAUCCCCUGGACCUGUACUGACGCUCAUGCACGAAAGCGUGGGGAGCAAACAGGAUUAGAUACCCGUGUAGUCCCUGUCUCUUAUAC